CUGGACACGACUAUGGUUGGCCUUUGGUACCCUGACCUCUCGCUUAGGUACCUCUUUCUCCUCCUGGAUUCCCCCAAACACUGCCUAUGCACACAAGGGAUCCAAACCUGAAGGAGUACAUCGCGUCAGCCAUUCCUGUCUUGCUGUGGACGAGUCAAGACAGUGCAUUCCUUCUUUGGACUGUGGUGGCAGAUGGGGGGGAGCAGGAAAGCCAGCCGCAGCACGCCUGCCAUCCGGAUAACUGAUGAGCAGGGCGUCUUCCUUUCUGAAAAUAUUCUAAAUGACUGUGAAGGGCGCACAGCGGUUUUGACGUAUCUGUAAUAAAAGCUUGGAGACCUGGGGUUCCGGGGUCAUGGAA